rnacentral:rRNA from 1 species
AUUGAACGCUGGCGGCAGGAUUAACACAUGCAAGUCGAGCGAGCGGCGGCCGGGUGAGUAAUGUCUGGGAAACUGCAUGAUGGAGGGGGAUAACUACUGGAAACGGUAGCUAAUACCGCAUAACAUCAGAUGUGCACAGAUGGGAUUAGCUGGUAGGUGGUGUGAUGGCUCACCGCGGCUACGAUCCCGAGCCUGUCUGAGAGGAUGACAAGACACACUGGAACUGAGCCACUGUCCAGACUCCUACGGGACGCAGCAGUGGGGAAUAUUGAACAAUGGGCGAAAGCCUGAUGCAGCCAUGCCGCGUGUUUGAAGAAGGCCUGCGGGUUGUAAAGCACUUUCAGCGAGGAGGCGGUACUCGCAGAAGAAGCACCGGCUAACUCCGUGCCAGCAGCCGCGGUAAUAC